rnacentral:rRNA from 1 species
UUCCGGUUGAUCCCGCCGGACCCCACUGCUAUCGAGGUGGGACUAAGCCAUGCUAGUCGAACGACCCGGACUAUGGCGGGAAGUGGCAGACUGCUCAGUAACACGUAGCUAACCUACCCUUGGGACGGGUAAAACCCCGGGAAACUGAGGUUAAUACCCGAUAGGUGUGGAAUCCUGGAAUGGUACCACGCCCAAAUGUAAACGCAUCCAAGUUUGCGUACACGCCCGAGGAUGGGGCUGCGGCCGAUCAGGCAGUUGGUGAGGUAACGGCUCACCAAACCUUUGACCGGUACGGGCCAUGAGAGUGGUAGCCCGGAGAUGGGCACUGAGACAAGGGCCCAGGCCCUACGGGGCGCAGCAGGCGCGAAACCUCCACAAUUCACGAAAGUGAGAUGGGGUUACCUCGAGUGCCGCCUGAAGAAGGCGGCUUUUCCAUUGUGUAAUGAGCCGUGGGAAUAAGAGGGGGGCAAGACUGGUGUCAGCCGCCGCGGUAACACCAGCCCCUCGAGUGGUGGGGAUGAUUAUUUGGCCUAAAGCGUCCGUAGCCUGCUCUGUAAAUCUUUCGUUAAAUCCAGCGUCCUAAGCGUUGGGCUGCGAGAGAGACUGCAGAGCUAGAGGGUGGGAGAGGUCAGCGGUAUUCCUGGGGUAGGGGCGAAAUCCAUUGAUCCCAGGAGGACCACCAGUGGCGAAGGCUGCUGACUAGAACACGCCUGACGGUGAGGGACGAAAGCUGGGGUAGCGAAUCGGAUUAGAUACCCGAGUAGUCCCAGCCGUAAACGAUGCAGGCUAGGUGUUGGGUUGGCCAUGUGCCAGCUCAGUGCCACAGGGAAGCCAUUAAGCCUGCCGCCUGGGGAGUACGGCCGCAAGGCUGAAACUUAAAGGAAUUGGCGGGGGAGCACCACCAGGCGUGAAGCCUGCGGUUUAAUUGGAUUCAACGCCGGGAAUCACUAGUGCGGCCGUCUUGCAGUCGACCAUAUGGGAGAGCUCCCAACGCGUUGGAUGCAUAGCUUGAGUAUUCUAUAGUGUCACCUAAAUAGCUUGCGUAUCAUGGUCAUAGCUGUUUCCUGUGUGAAAUUGUUAUCCGCUCACAUUUCCACACACAUACGGAGCCCGGAAGCAUAAAG